UAAAAAUUCUAAUCAUUACUUCUCCUUCCUUCAAAUAUCACUCCCUCUCUUCUCUGAGUUUCAUGCAGAGAUCGUCUCAAAACUGAAAUCCAUUUCGCUCCAUUUCUUUCUUACUUCUCUGCUCCCUUAAACCUCAACACACAGCUUUCGGAAAAUUAAAAAGUUUUUCAGGUUUUCAGAAUUAUGGAGGCAAGCUCGUGCGUACUUGAUGAUGCAGCUGAAGAUAUGAAAUUGGCAAUGUACUUGAAGAAUAGGCAGGAACAUAGCUCCGUAGACGCCGCACAAACCCCUGCAUCAGCCAGACAUGCGCUGCCACCAUCUAAUUCAGCUGUGGCGACCUCGAGUUGUA